GAUGAACGCUAGCGGCAGGCCUAACACAUGCAAGUCGAGGGGUAACAGGAAAGCUUGCUUUCGCUGACGACCGGCGCACGGGUGCGUAACGCGUAUGCAACCUACCUCAUACUGGAGGAUAGCCCCUGGAAACGGGGAUUAAUACUCCAUAGUAUCACGAAUUCGCAUGUUUUUGUGAUUAAAGUUUUUCGGUAUGAGAUGGGCAUGCGUCCCAUUAGCUUGUUGGUGAGGUAACGGCUCACCAAGGCAACGAUCUCUAGCUGGUCUGAGAGGAUGAUCAGCCACACUGGGACUGAGACACGGCCCAG
rnacentral:rRNA from 1 species